GGCCUCCCAAUUCUUACCACAGGCUGUGCUCUUUACAUAUAGAAAGAAGAGGUAGAGUAAAUGCACCCCAUAUACACCUCAACCCAGGCCCUUUGCCUGGUCUGUACUAUGAAUUGGGGGACAAAA